rnacentral:rRNA from 1 species
AUUGAACGCUGGCGGCAUGCCUUACACAUGCAAGUCGAACGGUAACAGGUCUUCGGAUGCUGACGAGUGGCGAACGGGUGAGUAAUACAUCGGAACGUGCCCGAUCGUGGGGGAUAACGAAGCGAAAGCUUUGCUAAUACCGCAUACGAUCUACGGAUGAAAGCAGGGGACCGCAAGGCCUUGCACGAACGGAGCGGCCGAUGGCAGAUUAGGUAGUUGGUGGGAUAAAAGCUUACCAAGCCGACGAUCUGUAGCUGGUCUGAGAGGACGACCAGCCAAACGGGGACUGGGACACGGCCCAGAAUCCUACGGGAGGCAGCAGUGGGGAAUUUUGGACAAUGGGCGAAAGCCUGAUCCAGCCAUGCCGCGUGCAGGAUGAAGGCCUUCGGGUUGUAAACUGCUUUUGUACGGAACGAAAAGACUCUGGUUAAUACCUGGGGUCCAUGACGGUACCGUAAGAAUAAGCACCGGCUAACUACGUGCCAGCCGCCGCCGUAACAC